AAAGAGAAAGAAAAAUACCAUAUGGUAUCAUUUAUAUGUGGAAUCUGGAAAAAAAAAGACACAAGAAAGCUAGAAUUCUUAGUUUGUAAACUUGCUGUUUUUGUUUUAUAAUUCAAGCCUUUCCCACUAAUCACAGGGGAUGGCAUCUGUUUCAUCAAGAGGCAUUCCUUGCUAAAAGGAAAUGAGAGCCACAUAAUGUCUUGAGGCACUGAUCAGCUAUUUCAAUCAGCCCCAAAACAAGUUCCUCGGAACUGGAGGAAUUCACAGCCUUACUUUUCAUAUCUUUUAACAUCAACUCAUAAAAUAAACAGAUCAGAAGAGCAAACGU